rnacentral:tRNA from 1 species
GGCUUUGUAGUGGAAUAAAAAGACGUCAGACUGCAAUUCUGAAGAUGCGUUAAAAUGCCAGAGCUU